UAAAUAAAGAUUUAAAAACAAAUUGGCAGGU
rnacentral:piRNA from 1 species